rnacentral:rRNA from 1 species
AACGAACGCUGGCGGCAUGCCUAACACAUGCCAGUCGAACGAGACCUUCGGGUCUCGUGGCGCACGGGUGCGUACCGCGUGGGAACCUGCCCUUAGGUUCGGAAUAACUCCCCGAAAGGGGUGCUAAUACCGCAUAGUGUCUUCGGACCAAAGAUUUAUCGCCUUUGGAUGGGCCCGCGUUGGAUUAGCUAGUUGGUAGGGUAAAGGCCUAUCAAGGCGACGAUCCAUAGCUGGUCUGAGAGGAUGAUCAGCCACACUGGGACUGAGACACGGCCCAGACUCCUACGGGAGGGAGCAGUGGGGAAUAUUGGACAAGGGGCGAAAGCCUGAUCCAGCAAGGCCGCGGGAGUGAUGAAGGCCUUAGGGUUGUAAAGCUCUUUUAGCCGGGAUGAUAAUGACGGUACCGGGAGAAUAAGCACCGGCUAACUACGUG